CCCUUAGAUGUCCGGGGCCGCACGCGCGCUACACUGAAGGAAUCAGCGUGGCUUUCUCCCUGACCCGAAAGGGUUGGGAAACCCGUUGAAUCUCCUUCGUGAUAGGGAUCGGGGCUUGAAAUUGUUCCCCAUGAACGAGGAAUUCCCAGUAAGCGCGAGUCAUAAGCUCGCGUUGAUUACGUCCCUGCCCUUUGUACACACCGCCCGUCGCUACUACCGAUUGAACGGUUUAGUGAGGGCCUCGGAUUGGUCUCGGCCCGCUCUUUACCGGGCGGCGCCGUUGGUCGAGAAGACGCUCGAACUUGAUCGUUUAGAGGAAGUAAAAGUCGUAACA
rnacentral:rRNA from 1 species